rnacentral:lncRNA from 1 species
UCUCAUUCAAGGCAGUUGUGAGCCACCAUGUGGUUGCUGGGAAUUGAACUCAGGGCCUCUGGAGAGCAGUCAGUGCUCUUAACCGCUGAGCCAUCUCUCCAGCCCGGAAAAAGUAUUCUUACACAUUGAGUUUCCGCGAAUCUCAUGGGCCCCGCUACUUCAGAUGGUUGCUGUAGUCUCAGUAAAGGGAGGUUGGAAGCAGUAGGGGCUCUUAAGUUACACACGUAACCAUUCCUAUAUUAGUUUUCUUACUGCUUUGAUGAAACACUUGGCCAAGCAAUGUAAGGAAAGGUUUAUUUGGGCUGACAGUUCCAGGGGGUCAUCCAAGGGUUGUGGGAUAUGUAUACACUGUUUGAGAAACGUAUGGCUGUGAUUGGUGUCAUAAGAAGCCAAACAGCCAAUAACUAGGCAGGAGGUAUAGGCGGGACUUCUGAGCAGAGAGAGAACUCUGGGAAGAAGAAAGGCAGAGUCGCCAGCCAGACUUGGAGAAGGCAGGGUGGGGAGUACGGAGAUGAGGUAAUACCACGGGGAAGAACAUAGAUUAAUAUAAAUAGAUCAAUUUAAGUUAUAAGUACUAGUGGGACCAGCCUAAGCUAAGACCGAGCUUUCAUAAUUAAUUAAAAAAAAAAGUCUCUGUGUUUUUAUUUGUGAACUGACAGCCCAGAGGAAAGUCCAACUACACCCAAGAUGGUGGGGAAGAUGUAGCAGCAAGAGCAUGAUAGAGCCAGGUACAUUGUAUCUAUAGUCAGGCACAUUGUAUCUAUAGUCAGGUACAUUGUAUCCAUAGUCAGGCACAUUGUAUCUAUAGUCAGGCACAUUGCAUCUAUAGUCAGGUACAUUGUAUCUAUAGUCAGGCACAUUGUAUCUAUAGCCAGGUACAUUGUAUCUAUAUCUAGAUACAUUGUAUCCAUAGCCAGAUACAUUGUAUCUACAUCCAGAAAGCAGAGAACAAUAAAUGCUAAGUGUUUGCUCACUUUCUCCUUUUGAUACAGUCCACAUACAGAGUGAGCCUUCCUACCUCUGUUACCCCAAUCUAGGAAAUUUCUCAUAGGCAGGCCCAGAGACUUGUCUCCAAGACAAUCCUAGAUUGACAAUCAAGAUUAGUUUUCACAAUGUCAAAGACAGCUGGCAGUCUCUGUCAGCAUCACACAUAUUAGAUAGAUCCCUGUGCAGCUUCUACUGUGUGCUGAUUCCAAUCUAAAGGGGGUCCAUGUGGAUUAACCUAAUAUUGAUGAAGGGGGAACAAUAAAAUAAGGUGACAAGUAUGACUGCCAGCACCAUCGAUCAAACGUGAAAUCAGGUUUACCUUUGAAGUCAGAACAUUGAAAAUAAAGCCGAGGCGGGACUAGGUGCCCGAGAAUCCCACAAGUGUAGCAUGUCCAUCUAGUCUGUCUUGCCUAGUCCACAUGAAUCUUCACCACUUAAGGACAUGGCACCGGGUACAGGUCUCCGGCUGACAACAGACAGUGGCUUGGGGCAUGUCCUGAAAGGAAGUUGUCAACCACUGAUGUGCUCUGGUGAUGAUGGUGCUGACCCCAAGAGGGUGUGGUCCAUUCAGUAGAAGUUUAGAAAAUCUGAACUGGUUUACAGUGACAAAAACCAGGCCACCGGUCUGAUCACGGACAGGUGGGAGGAGGGAGCUUGAGGAUUUCAGGAGGAAGUUCCAUCUUCUCUGUGUUGCUUUCUGUCACUAUGACCAAUACCUGAGAUAAUCAACUUAUAAGGAGAGGUUUGUUUGGGGUCCCAGGUUUGGAGGCCCAUGGUUGGACAGCUAGGCUGAUUUGGGCUUAGGGCAAGGCAGCACAUCAUGUUGGGUUUUAUGGCAGAGCAAACCACUAAGCUCUUCCCAAGCCUGGGAGCAAAAACAGGAGGAAGGAGCUAGGUCCCACAGCCACCAUCAAGGGCAUGUCCCCAACCCCAUCCCCUCUAUUAGGUCCUACCUGUUAUUCCUCAUGGUGGUUCUACUGGGGAACCAAACCUUCCACAGAUGGGACACAAGGGAUAUCCAGAUCCUCAGGAUGUAUUGUGGGGAUGGCUUAUGGACGAUGCAUGUACAUUCUCUCCCUGGAGAGACUCUCUUGGUCACCAAUGCUGCAGGCAUGUGUGGGGAAAAACUGUAAUAUCUUUAGGAACAACUUCCGAGCCCCUCUGUUUUUUUGUUUUUUUGUUUUUUUGUUUUUAGAUUUUAUUUAUUUAUUUAUUAUACAUUCUGCUUCCAUGUAUAUCUGCACACCAGAAGAGGGCACCAGAUCUCAUUACAGAUGGUCAUGAGCCACCAUGUGGUUGCUGGGAAUUGAACUCAGGACCUCUGGGAAGAGCUGCUAGUGUUCUCAACCUCUGAGCCAUCUCUCCAGCCCCGACUAUCUGUUCUUGACUUUUUUUUUUUUUUAUGGAUUUGACAAAGCAGGCCCCCAUUGUGAAUGAGGUGGGUAGGGCCUGAUAGCUACCCCUCCAUCCUGAACAUCAUCGGAUCCCUAACAUCAACCUGAUGCUCACCUACCACAAGCUGGUCCUAUAGUUUCAAGGUCCUGCAAACCACAGAGCUAAACAUCUAAGGGCUCCUUCUGCAGGUGGCCUGGGCCUGACCACUCGGUGGAGACCUGUCACAAAGCAGAAUUUCUUACUGUGGCAUGUGACCUCCUAAGCAGCAGGCUGGGGGGCAGGGAGGGGGGAGGGGGAUUGUCCAGCCAUCUCCCAGACUUCUAGACAGGGCAUUGUACAUGGUAUGCAAAGCCCUUGGGGGAGACGAAUGUGUCCUUAGAAACAGUCUUUGCAAACUAGUGUGGUAGCUCAUACCUGUAUUCCCAGCAACUGAGAACCUGAGAUAGGAGGAGUGCCAUGAGUUCAAGGCCAACUUGGGAUACAGAAUGAGAUCCUGUCCCAAACAAACAAGAAAACAAAAAAAGCUCCUCCACCUCCCCACACACACACAAUCAAAUUUUAUUCAGACUGUUCUUUGCAUCUAUAGUUUGUUUAAAUAUUGAUCACAAAACAUUUAGAAAAUAAAGUGAACUCCUGGAGGUCUGCUUUCAUUGAAAGAUAUAGAUUUCUGUGUUUACCUGGGAAGAGACCCACAUACCCUCCCAUCUUCUUUCCGUGACAAGUGUGCAAAAUUUUGUUUGCUGACACAGAAUUAUCACAGGCAUGUGCAGUAUGCCCUUAGCUCUGCAGUCUGGGGGGCUAGGAAUUAAGGUUCACUUGGUUCACGGCUGUGGAGGUAUCUUCCCAAGUGACGGUUUCAGGCUGUACUGUCACCUAGUGCCAGCAUAUAUGACAAAUGAGCCACUUUCCUUCUUUUUGUAACUUCAUAGUUACGAUGUCCCAGCCUCAAAAUCUCACCUAGUAUUGCCUGCUUUCCACAGGCCCCACCUCCAAAUACCACCACUGUAAGAAUUUGGGGAUGUUUCAGACCCAUCAACUUCUGGGAGACACAUUCAAUCAAUAUCAAUAUUGUCAUGUCAGUUUUGCAUGCUUUAAACUUCAUGUAAGCAAAGUCAUGUUAUUCUAGACUUACAUCUUCCCUGCUACCAUUCUCCUGACACAUGGCUCUUGCAGCCAUUCCCAGCUUUGUAAAGCCUCCAGAUCACAGGUUGAUGCCUUGUUUAGACUCUCCACACUGUGUCUCCUGUUCCCUCUUGCUAGUUAGUCCACCUGCCCACAGAUGCCUCCAACUCACUGCAGACAGCACCUGCUGCUACCAGCAUGUUCACCUCCUACCCCCUCAACCUGGCUACUCCCUCCAUGGCCCUGUUCACACUACACACCAGUAUGCCACACCCCUGAUUGGAGGGGGGUGUCCUUCUGUAUGCUGUGAAUAUAUGCUUCUCUUAUUGGUUGAUGAAUAAGCACUGAUUGGCCAGUAGUCAGGCAGGAAGUAUAGGCAGGGCUACCAGCCUAGGAAAGUUCUGGGAAGAGAAAGGCAGAGAGGAGCUACUCUAGAGACGCCAUGUAGCUGCCAAAGGAGUAACAUGCCGGAGCAUUACAGGUAAGCCACAGCCUUGUGGCAAUACAAAGUUUAAUAGAAACGGGUUAAUAAUUAAGAAAGAGCUAGCCAGUAAGAAGCCUGAGUCAUUGGCCAAAUAGUUUACAAUUAAUAUAAGCCUCAGUGUGUUUAUUUAGGACUGAAGGGCGGCGGUGGGACCAGGCUGCACAGAAACUGUCUCUACACACCCCAUCACACAUAAACACAUGCACACACAUGUACAUGUGUUCUGUAUGUUCUGAGAUGCAAACAAUGACUGGUGGCAAGUAGUCUUGCCUGGACUUAAGCCUGCACAUGGGAAUUGAGCUGAGGUUUCUCCUCCCCUGAAGAAUGUCAGUUCAAGACAGCAUUUCUCUCUCUCAUAUUUUCAGGGAAAACCAGUUCCAGUUCUACCCCCCAAAAAGUAUUCUUGCAGCUCCUUUGCAUGUAUAGGUUUCAGUGACAUACUACAGCCGCCACAGUCUAGCCAUGUUUUGAGAAACUGGGGGCUAGUACUAAACACAAUAAUGCCAUCUUUUCACUACUAGAGGUAGAAAGCAAGUGCCAUCCACGUGCCUACAUGUAGAGAUACGAUGUGGGAUUAUGUGAAUAUUGAAUUCUCAAGCCUACAGCACAGGAAGCCCACCACCCACUCUCCUUCUCUGUGCUCAGUGCAUAGUCUCUACUGGCCCCGAACUCCACAGGAAUUAACAAGAUUAGAUUUACUUCUACACAGGCUGUGAGGGAUUUUCUUGAUUAGGGGAGUGUCAGGGGCCUAUAAAGAUGGCUCCACUCCAUCUUAAAAGUCAGACAGUUCAAAACUGUCCUUACUAAGUCUUAAGACCUAAAGGUCUAAGGCAUGGCUACAAUAGGAUGUUUGAUUUUGUCCCUGGGUAUCUUACCUAAAUAUCAACAGACUUGUUAGAAGGUGUGGUUAUUCCUGACCCUCAAGGCCUGAUAAUGAGAAAUUAAAUAUAAGGUGUAGUUAUCAAAUUCUUGGAGAAUUUAGGGAGAAAAUCUGUUUGUCCCAUCCAUAUACAUGAUACCAUGUUCCCCCUUUCGGUUAAGGUAUUUAAGAAUGGUGAAAAAUUAAUUCAGCAUGGUCAGUAUUGACUGAAUCUGCCCUCCUGAUUGUAUUCCAGUGUCUCUGUCUUUCUUUUAACAUCUUUAGCUCACAUUUUCUUUAUCCACAUUCAAACUCUCAGUACGAACCAUGGGCGAGUCAGCUGGCUCCAACUGCAGCCCUGAAAGACAGCUUCCCACAAGGGAGACCCACCCUAAUGUGAGUGGCACCUUCCAACAGUAGCCCAGAUAGGAGUAAGUCCAUUUUGUGCUGUUGCCUGCCCUGCUUGGGAGUUCAUCUGUCCGACUGCCACCAUACUUCAUGGAUGUCCGAACCUAGAUUCUUUAGCCUCCCCAUGGAAACUGAAGACCAGUAGCUCUCCAGGAAUCCUCCAGCAAUAUAUUGGGACUGCUGGGACAUCCAGGGUUGAAU